rnacentral:rRNA from 1 species
UACGUAGGGUGCGAGCGUUGUCCGGAAUUAUUGGGCGUAAAGAGCUCGUAGGCGGUUUGUUGCGUCUAUCGUGAAAACCUGCAGCUUAACUGUGGGCUUGCGGUGGAUACGGGCAGACUUGAGUUCGGUAGGGGAGACUGGAAUUCCUGGUGUAGCGGUGAAAUGCGCAGAUAUCAGGAGGAAGACCAGUGGCGAAGGCGGGUCUCUGGACAGUUCCUGACGCUGAGGCACGAAGGUCAGGGGAGCAAACGGG